UUUGCCGUCAUAUGACCCAUUUUUGUUUCGCAGUUAGUGUUUCUGUUUUAUUAGAGCCCAUUCUUUCAUGAUGUCAUCUCCUUAAGGUUGUCAGCGUACUUAUUUCCUUAUCGUUUUUAGACUGCUCCGUUAUUUUCAUUUUGUGGUGAGCAUGCAGCACUCCCAGUUAGCCAUGCUGUCUUUCUUAUCACUUGGUAGCUUUGGUUUCCAGGCUAUCUUAAAUGUCUUGCUUUGUCUUACUCUUCUCUCAUGAGUGAUUUUACAGUAACUUUCACCAACCCGGAGGCCCACUUCAAAGUGAAGACUCGUGGUAAAGAAUCAGGUCUUAUGGUGGGCAGUCUGCAGACAUGUGCUCAAGCUAAAAGAAGAAUGAGAGAUGAAGAAAUCUCCACACAAGGGCUUUUCAAAUCUCUGCUGGAGUCAAGUCAACCAACAUCAUUUUGACCAUGUCAAAUUGCUUACCUGAGCUCAAAAUCAAGGUCUGGGAUAUUGGUACUAAAGUUCUUGGGCACCCUCAGUCUGAUGCAGAUUUGGACCUG